rnacentral:lncRNA from 1 species
UUUAUAAAANNNAUAUUAAAAUUAUACAAUAAGUGAUUUUAUAAAAGAAAAAUAAAAUAAAAAAUAAUUUUCUUCUUCUCCUCCACCACACUUCUUUUCCAGCCAUUAUCCUCUUUUCCAAUCAACCCCUCACCCCAUCCACGCUCCAAUCUCCAUUUUCCUUCUUCAUACCUUGUUGUCAUUGUUUUCAGCAGAUCCAUCUCCCUCUUUUUUUUAUUUUUUUCGAUUCCAAUAGAAAUUUCAAUUUUCUCUUCGACAUAAAAGGCUAACACAGAAAGAAAAAGGAAAGGAAACAAAGAAAGAUGACAUUGUAGAUCUUAUAGUUUCAAUCAAGAAUUUUCGGCGACACACUAGAAUUUUCAGCGACCCAUUUUGGAUUUCUUCUCAGUCCCCGGUUUCUUCCCCACAAAUCGACAUCGAACUUUACGUUCUAAUCGAUCUUCAAUUUGUCUAAUUCAUUUUCUCCUCUAUGUAUUGCUUGUGAUUCCAGCCACUAUUACUACUGAUUUCUUGGGCAUUAUGUUGUUGUCAGUUGUAUAUUUUCAAGAUUCAAGAUUUAUUUUUAAGAUUUUCAUUCUCAAUGUCCCUUUUCUUUUAUACGAAGACAAAUUUAAAUGGAAGAAAAAAUAAGGAUGGAGGUGCUGGUAAUGGUGGUUGUGGGUUGGGGGUGGUGGAGGUAAGUUAAAUGGAAGGUGGAGGAAGGUGAGAGAAAUAUGAAUUUUAUUUGAAAGAAUUAUUUAACCUUCUAUUUAAUAUUUUAAUUAAUAAUUUUAAAAAAGUUAGAAAAAAUAAUUAUGACGUGGU